rnacentral:rRNA from 1 species
UACGAGGGGGGCGAGCGUUGUUCGGAAUUAUUGGGCGUAAAGGGUGCGUAGGCGGUUUGGUAAGUCUGAUGUGAAAUCUAUGGGCUCAACUCAUAGUCUGCAUCGGAAACUGCCGGGCUUGAGUAUGGGAGAGGUGAGUGGAAUUCCUGGUGUAGCGGUGAAAUGCGUAGAUAUCAGGAGGAAUACCUGUGGCGAAAGCGGCUCACUGGACCAUAACUGACGCUGAUGCACGAAAGCUAGGGGAGCAAACAGG